rnacentral:lncRNA from 1 species
GUAGAGGUAGGGUCCCAGCCUGGGCCAGCUCCCCGGGCCCUGCCACUGCAGACCUGGGCAGCCACCAGAGCUUUGCGUCUUGGGGAAAGAAAACUGGCUCAGAGAGGCUGAGUAACCUGCUCAAGAUGACACAGCUUGUGGGUGGCUGAGUUGGCCUUCCAACCCAGAUUCCUGUCAUGUUCCUCAAGCCGACAGGUUCAGCUUGGUUGUGACCUCUGCUAGAAGCCCUCCCUGGCCUCCCUGUGCACUGAGCUGGUGGUUCCUCCUUUGCGCCCCAGGUACAUGCUCAGAUCUGUGUACCCUACACUUUGUCCUCCAGCUUCGUGUUUGGAUGUUCACAACUCCCAUGAGAAGGGCCCCCGAGAGCUGGCACAGUGCAUGUGUUUCCUCUCCAGACUUCUACAAACCUGGCACAUAAUUGUUUGCUGAAAGAUGGCAUGUUCCUAAAACAGAGGAAGUAGAACCGAAUAAAGCGAAAUCCAACUUCCCA